GCCGAAGUGGUGAAAUUGGUAGACGCGCUGGACUCAAAAUCCAGUGGAGGAUAACUCCGUGUCGGUUCGAGUCCGACCUUCGGCA
rnacentral:tRNA from 1 species